GCUGGGCAUGGUGGUCCUCGCCUGUAAUCCCAAUGCGUGGGAGGCUGAGGCAGGAGGAUCAUGAAUUCAAAGUCAGCCUCAGUAAUUUAGCAAGGCUCUAAGGAACUUAGCAAGACCCUGUCUCAA
rnacentral:sRNA from 1 species